rnacentral:misc_RNA from 1 species
UCACCAGGUCAAGCAUGGCUUGUUGUUGGAUGGUUUUGGUGGGACCUGCAGCGUCUCACCCCUCCUAAAGACAAUGACGGCGGCUUCGUUGGACCCCCGGUACACUGAGCUUCUUAACUGAGCACGUACUGGAUACGGGUGCGCGGGGCACGGUCUGCCUCCCCUCAGGGAGAACUUUUUUACAA